AUUGAACGCUGGCGGCAGGCCUAACACAUGCAAGUCGAGCGGAUGAAGGGAGCUUGCUCCUGGAUUCAGCGGCGGACGGGUGAGUAAUGCCUAGGAAUCUGCCUGGUAGUGGGGGAUAACGUCCGGAAACGGGCGCUAAUACCGCAUACGUCCUGAGGGAGAAAGUGGGGGAUCUUCGGACCUCACGCUAUCAGAUGAGCCUAGGUCGGAUUAGCUAGUUGGUGGGGUAAAGGCCUACCAAGGCGACGAUCCGUAACUGGGCUGAGAGGAUGAUCAGUCAAACCUGGACCUGGAAACGGGCCCGACUCCCAAGGGGGGGCAGCGGUGGGGAAUUUGGGCAAAGGGGGGAAACCUUACGCCAGCCCGGCGCGGGGGGGAAAAAAGGCUUUGGGUUGGUAAACCCUUUUAAGUGGGGAGAAAGGGCGGUAAGUUAAAACUUCGCUUUUUGACGGUAACCAACAAAAAAGCCACGGCCAACUUCGGG
rnacentral:rRNA from 1 species